rnacentral:rRNA from 1 species
GUACAUAAUUUUAGAUUUAUUCAUUUUUUAUACUUAAUAAAAUAAUUACAUUUAAGUCCUUCUUAAAACACUUUUUCAAAUUUGUCAUUUGCUACAUAAAUGUAACUCGCCUAAACUUCUUGAUAGUCUGCACCUUGAUCUGUUAUAUUAGGUAUAUUUCUAAUAUGAUAAUAUAUUAUAUAUUAUCAGGUUACGACGGCAUACAAAAUAUUACAUGAAGUGGAUUUCCUUGGUGGUUAUCAAUUAUUUGGUAAGUUCCCCUAAAUUUUAAAAUUACCGUCAUGCUAUUAGAGUUUUAAUCAAGAAAAGAUUUUAGUACUCAGUAAUUUUUUAUGGGUAUUGUAUAAAAGGGUAUCUAAUCCUUGUUUAAGAUCAAUAUUUAAAAUAUAUUAGAUUAUUUAAGGUUAUAAAUGCUAUUUCACCAAAAUAUUAAUUUAUAAGCUUUAUUAUACUAUAUGUAGUUUAUUACUAUAAAAGUCUGACCGCGACUGCUGGCACUUUUUUUAGUCAUAGUAUGUAUAAUUGGUUUAUUCUUACUUUCGUAAAUUUUUAAAUUUUCUUUCCUGGUAAAAUCUUUUUAGUACCAUAAGAAUUCCUAUUUUAUAUAAACAGUUUCACCAU